rnacentral:rRNA from 1 species
AUUGAACGCUGGCGGCAUGCCUUACACAUGCAAGUCGAACGGCAGCACGGACUUCGGUCUGGUGGCGAGUGGCGAACGGGUGAGUAAUGUAUCGGAACGUACCUUUCAGUGGGGGAUAACGUAGCGAAAGUUACGCUAAUACCGCAUAUUCUGUGAGCAGGAAAGCAGGGGAUCGCAAGACCUUGCGCUGAUUGAGCGGCCGAUAUCAGAUUAGCUAGUUGGUGAGGUAAAGGCUCACCAAGGCGACGAUCUGUAGCGGGUCUGAGAGGAUGAUCCGCCACACUGGAACUGAGACACGGUCCAGACUCCUACGGGAGGCAGCAGUGGGGAAUUUUGGACAAUGGGGGCAACCCUGAUCCAGCCAUGCCGCGUGAGUGAAGAAGGCCUGGGUUGUAAAGCUCUUCGGUCGGGGAAGGAAAGUUAGCACGGGUUAAGUACCCUAGUGUAGA